GGAGGAAGGAGCCUCC
rnacentral:misc_RNA from 1 species